AGGAUAGCUACGCUGAGUUCUUUAGGAAAGAAGCGGGGGAACCAUGGUUUGGGGUGAAUUCUCUUUGCAUGCCUGAGUUUGCGGCCUGUGCAAGAGAUAGGGUCAACUUUCGAUCCGAACCCGUCAGCUAACUUCGUAAGCGUAGAAAGUAAAU
rnacentral:sRNA from 2 species